ACCAACUCUCUGACAUAAGCAGCCAACCCUGACCCUUCUCUGCUCUCCUCAGUCCCAACUAAACGUCAUGCAGCUGAGUUGUCUCCAUGCAGCAGCCGCCGACACUAUGGCGCCUACGCCCGUCCACAUGAAACCCCUGGAGGAGAAGGGGUCAGAGGUAAGGAACCACCCCCGAGCUCGCCGUGCGUCCUCCGACGGAAACAACAGGGUCAAAUCAGCCCUCCAAGAGAAGCGCAUCACCACCAUCCCAGAGCUGGCCGAGUCCUUCAAAAGGAGACUGAGGCUCCACAACAAGAAGGUCAUGUCCACGAGGGAAGCGGACAGCCAUGAAGACAUGUGCAAUGGAGGAGGAGGAGUCCAGGAGUUGCAAUGCUCACACCGCUUCCACAAAGAGGUGGCCAGCAGACUGGAUGCGGGGCGUCCCCGGAGCGGGAGCACAGCCGGAGUGUGUGAUAGGAGGAAGUCUGUGACUGGAGGAGAGGAGAGGCGGAGCUCAGGCGAGGAGCCGUUCAGCAAGGUGCAGGAGGACUACUGUAUCCCCCGACGCCAGCUCUCCCUCAGGAGACAACGCUGAGAAGGGACAAAAAAAGUUCCCAAAAUUCCCAGGUUUCCCAGAAAUCGUGGUUGGAGGUUUACGGAUUUCCUUCUGUUGUUCUCCGAAUUCCGGGGAUCCUCUAACCAGGAUUUCUGGAAAACCUGGGAAUUUUGAUAAAGUUACCUUCAUUUUGGAAACACUAAUGCUGAGACAACGCUGAAAUAACUAACACAGCAACGUCUAACAUGCUGAUCACACUGCUCGCGCAUGUGCGUCCGCGUGCGUCAUCGCGGGCAUGUUGAUUUUGUCCACCCACACCAGACGUGAUCAGGACACACAGGUUGAAAUAUCAAAAUGAACUCUAACUAUAUUAACUACAUUAAUUUGGGGACAGGUCGAAACACAUGACACAUUCAUGGACAUUUAGAUAGCUAGCUAUAUCUUGGGAUAUAAACAUUGGGUUGUUAUUUUACCUGAAAUGCACAAGAUCCUCUACUCUGACAAUUAAUCCACAGAUAAAAGGGUAAACCUAGUUAGUGUCUAGUAAUCUCUCUUCCUUCAGGCUUCUUCUUCUUCUUUGGACUUUAUGUGGCGGUUGGCAAACAACUUUAAGGUGCAUUACCACCACCAACUGGACUGGAGUGUGGACCUCAGUUAAUCUUUCAAUCACCCACGUGGGUAUAUGCUCCUAAAAACCAAUGAAGAGAUGGGAGAGGCGGAACUUGCAACGCAUGAAGCGCCACAAAUAGAACUAGGUUCUAUUUUAGCGCCUGGCUAUGCAGAUGCUUGCUGACGCGCGCAUGCCAUGUGGGUGCAAUUAUUGAAUAACAUGCAUGUGUACAUUUAUUUUGCAAUGCUUGCGCAAACGACGCACGCGGUGAUGUGGUCAGCAUGUAAGCCAAACACACAUUCAACUCUCCUUGGACCAAACGGCAGGCUACUAUUUGACCUUUCCAACCUAACAGACAGUGAACCAGAGGAACUCACUUUCCAAAAGGUAUGGGCCCGUAUUCACACAGUGUCUCAGAUUAGGAGUGUACUCAGAUCCCCUCUGUCUAUAUAACCUAGGCCUGGUCUGAUCCCAGUCUUAGACUUCAUCUUUUUAAAAUGGUUGAUGUGUCCCUUUCAACAUAACUCUCUUCACUAGACUUACAAUGGAUCCCUAAUGUUUAAAAAGAAGAUACAGAACUGAUACAACAGCACUGAUACAACAGAGAUGAUACAACAGGACUGAUACAACAGAACUGAUACAACAGCACUGCUACAACAGAGAUAAUACAACAGGACUGAUACAACAGCACUGAUACAACAGAGAUGAUACAACAGGACUGAUACAACAGCACUGAUACAACAGAGAUGAUACAACAGAGAUGAUAUAACAGCACUGAAACAACAGAGAUGAUACAGCAGAGAUGAUACAACAGGACUGAUACAACAGCACUGAUACAACAGAGAUGAUACAACAGGACUGAUACAACAGAACUGAUACAACAGCACUGAUACAACAGGACUGAUACAACAUAACUGAUACAACAGGACUGAUAGAACAGAGAUGAUACAACAGAGAUGAUAUAACAGCACUGAUACAACAGAGAUGAUACAACAGGACUGAUACAACAGGACUGAUACAACAGAGAUGAUACAACAGGACUGAUACAACAGGACUGAUACAACAGGACUGAUACACUAGGACUA
rnacentral:lncRNA from 1 species